rnacentral:sRNA from 14 species
UGUUACCUCGGUAACACAUAUGCUAAAAUUGGAACGAUACAGAGAAGAUUAGCAUGG